GCCUCGGUAGCUCAGCCUGGUGGAGCGCCUGCUUGGUAAGCAGGAGGUCGCGGGAUCGUAGCCCGCCCGAGGCU
rnacentral:tRNA from 1 species